rnacentral:rRNA from 1 species
GACGAACGCUGGCGGCGUGCUUAACACAUGCAAGUCGAGCGGUAAGGCCCUUUCGGGGGUACACGAGCGGCGAACGGGUGAGUAACACGUGGGUGACCUGCCCUCAGCUCUGGGAUAAGCCUGGGAAACCGGGUCUAAUACUGGAUAUGACUCCAUGACGCAUGGUUGUGGGGUGGAAAGCCUUGUGCGGCUGAGGAUGGGCCCGCGGCCUAUCAGCUUGUUGGUGGGGUGANGGCCUACCAAGGCGACGACGGGUAGCCGGCCUGAGAGGGCGACCGGCCACACUGGGACUGAGACACGGCCCAGACUCCUACGGGAGGCAGCAGU